rnacentral:rRNA from 1 species
AACGAACGCUGGCGGCAUGCCUAACACAUGCAAGUCGAACGAGACCUUCGGGUCUAGUGGCGCACGGGUGCGUAACGCGUGGGAAUCUGCCCUUGGGUUCGGGAUAACUUCGGGAAACUGAAGCUAAUACCGGAUGAUGACGUAAGUCCAAAGAUUUAUCGCCCAAGGAUGAGCCCGCGUAGGAUUAGCUAGUUGGUGAGGUAAAGGCUCACCAAGGCGACGAUCCUUAGCUGGUCUGAGAGGAUGAUCAGCCACACUGGGACUGAGACACGGCCCCAGACUCCUACGGGAGGCAGCAGUGGGGAAUAUUGGACAAUGGGCGAAAGCCUGAUCCAGCAAUGCCGCGUGAGUGAUGAAGGCCUUAGGUGUAAAGCUNUUUACCCGGGAUGNUAAUGACAGUACCGGGAGAAU